AUGGCAGCCUGGGUGGAUUUUCAGUCUGUGGCCCCGAGCAGAGGCGCAGGAGCCUCAGGAGGGGCAGGCGCAGUGACUACCCUAGGCCAGACGGAACUCCCAGAACUUCAUGCUUCCAGGUGGCCGAAUGACACCUCAGGGACCUUCCAUGGGACCUCCUGGCUAUGGAGUGAACCCUUCAAUCCGACCUAGCCUGGCCCAUCAGGGAUGGACCAGUCCCGCAAGAGACCAGCACCUCAGCAGAUCCAGCAGGUCCAGCAGCAGGCAGUCCACAAUCGAAACCACAAUGCAAAGCAAAAGAGGAUGGCUGACAAAAUUCUACCUCAAAGGAUUCGUUAACUGGUACCAGAAUCCCAGGCCUCUUGGCUUUUGAAAGGAAACUGGACCAGACUAUAAUGAGGAAACAUGUAGAUAUCUAAGAUGCCUUGAAAUGUCCCAUCAAGCAAAAAUGGAAGCUGCACAUUUUCAUCUCUAACACUUUCAAUCCAGCUAAAUCAGAUGCUGAGGAUGGGGAAGGGAUGGUGGCAUCCUGGGAGCUUCGGGUAGAGGGAUGGCUCCUGGAGGAUUCAGCCUUGUCCAAAUAUGAUGCCAUCAAACAAAAGAGGAAAUUCUCUUCCUUUUUUAAGUCCUUGGUGAUUGAAUUGGACAAAGACCUGUGUGGACCAGACAAUCAUCUAGUAGAACCUCCCCAGUUUAAAUUAAACCUUCAUCUGGCUUGGCUCCUGCGUAUCCACACCCAGACUCAUCCAGGGAUUAUCCAAGCACUGUGGCAAUACAUUAGGACACAUAAACUCUAAGACCCUCGUGAGCAGGAGUUUAUCUGUGACAAGUACCUCCAGCAGAUCUUUGAGUCUCAAUGUAUGAAGUUUUCAGAGAUCCCUCAAAGGCUGCAUGCCCUGCUUAUGCCACCAGGAUCCAUUAUCAUUAAUCAUGUCAUCAGUGUUGACCCAAAUGACCAGAAAAAAACAGCAUGUUAUGACAUUGAUGUGGAAGUGGAUGCUACCCUGAAGACCUAGAUGAAUUCUUUUCUGCUGUCCACUGCUAGCCAGCAGGAGAUUGCUACUUUAGACAACAAGAUCCACGAGACAAUAGAAACUAUCAACCAGCUGAAGACCCAGUGGGAAUUCACGCUCAGCUUUGCCAGAGACCCUCAGGUUUUUAUCAAUGACUGGCUUCAGUCCUAGUGCUGGGACCUCAAGACCAUGACCAAUGUGAUGGGCAACCCAGAGGAAGAGUGCCUAGCCGAGUUCUACUUCCAGCCUUGGGCUCAGGAGGCCAUGUGCCGAUACUUCUACUCUAAGGUGCAGCAGAGACAACAAGAAUUAGAGCAAGCUCUGGGAAUCCAGAAUACAUAG